GACCGUGAGGGAUGAAGGCUAGGGGCGCAAAGUGGAUUAGAUACCCAUGUAGUCCUAGCAGUAAACACUGCACACUGAACAUUGGGGCCUCUUCGAGAGGUCUCAGUGCUGUAGGGAAGCCGGAGAGUGUGCUACCUGGGAAGUAUAGUCGCAAGGCCGAAACUUAAAGGAAUUGGCGGGGGGGUACUACAACGGGUGACGCGUGCGGUUCAAUUAGAUUCUACACCGUGAACCUCACCAGGACCGACAGCAGAAUGAAGGUCAGUCUGAAGGGCUUACCUGACACGCUGAGAGGAGUUGCAUGGCCGACGUCAGCCUGUGCUGUGAAGUGACCAGUUAAAUCUGGUAACAGGCGAGACCCGCGUGUACAGUUGCUUCGUGCACACUGUACAGACUGCAGUGGUAACACUGAGGAAGGUGCGGGCUACGUUAGGUGAGUACGACCCGAAUGCCCUGGGCUACACGCGCGCGGCAAUGCUGCAUUCAAUGGGCUGCAACUCCGAAAGGAGAAGCCAAUCUCAUAACCUGCAGCUUAGUUCAGAUUGAGGGUUGCAACUCACCCUCAUGACGCUGGAAUCCGUAGUAAUCGUUCUUUAUCAGAGAACGGUGAAUAUGUCAAUGCCCCUUGCACACACCGAAA
rnacentral:rRNA from 1 species